rnacentral:lncRNA from 1 species
AUGCAUCUUGCCAAGCCUGCCUAUGGGUCUGGAAAUCAGGGCAAGGCAAGAUUCCCACGUACAAAAUUAGAUCUUGGAAACAGAGAGAAGCUACCAACCUGGGAUGGCAGAGUGAUGACUGGAUUCUGGCAUUCAUCCUUGCACGAAGAGAAUAUUGGAGUUUCUAAAGAGUGUCUGAGACCGACCUUGUUGACAGUCCGCCAUGGCACUUCAACCCUACCACUUCAGGCGGAGGGUCUCCAUGGGGCACGUUCACAUGUGCAGGCCUUUUGUAACACUUUGUUGAGAGAAGUCUCAUCAUGUCUCCCAGAAUGAGGCCAAAUGCAGACUUUUCUUUUUCACAGAGACACUUGAUUAUCCUAUGAGAUGAGUUAAUCAGCCGGUGACGUGUUUUUGCAUGGCAACAACAAAGGAUGCAUCAGAUGCCGUGCAAAUGUCCCUGGCCUCCUCUAUCUAGGUCAUCAACCUGGAGCACUGCAUCACUUUGAUGUUUCUCUUUCCAUGUUCAUCAGCCACUUCUGAAAGGAAAAUGCAAAGU